UAUGUUUCACCUUAACAUAGUAGGAGAAAUAUAAUGUUACUGGCCUGUUAUUGUAAUGAUUGCAAUAAGGAUUUGUAGUAUAUGUGUUAUGCUGCUAUGAUUGCAAUUUAGAUUGACAUAAUAAUCUGUAUAUAUUCCAUCAGCUUGGUGAGACCUCCUCUGUCCGCAAGAGGAAGUUUGAGGAGUUUGAUGACUCGGAGGACUCUGGCCACUCCUACAUUUCCUGCGAGGUCGAGUCCGGGGACGCCGUGUCGUACAACUCAGAUGCUUCAUCUGAUAAUGAAGUCAGCAAGUACAAUGUGCUGUCAUAUGAGAAGAAGGUGGAGGAGAAGAUCUGGGCUGAGGGAAUCAGUGCUUACAUGAAACCUGAUGGGAGGUACUACUGCAAGUUCCAUCCCUCCAAGCAGGUUCCUAGGGAUGGUAUGCGUGAAGGACUUGUUGGCCAUGUGAAGGAUGUGCACCCGAAGGAUCUCCGCGACAAGGCGAACCAUGCUGCCCUGAGGAAAGUACUGGAGUACUAUGGUCAGGAUUGACUGAAUGCCUGAAAAAGUUAGUGAAGAAGUACAUCAUCAGUAGAUAUGAUGAUGUUAAGUAAUGUAUGUUAUUAAGAACUGCUAGUUUAUGUGUGCACCUUCUGUUAUGGUGCGGUAACUAUGUAUGGACUUGCUA